rnacentral:tRNA from 1 species
AAAGAAUAUAGUUUAAGUAAAAAUAUUAGAUUGUAAAUCUAAAGUUUAGAUUCUU